rnacentral:rRNA from 1 species
UAGGGAAUCUUCGGCAAUGGACGAAAGUCUGACCGAGCAACGCCGCGUGAGUGAAGAAGGUUUUCGGAUCGUAAAACUCUGUUGUUAGAGAAGAACAAGGACGUUAGUAACUGAACGUCCCCUGACGGUAUCUAACCAGAAAGCGACGGCUAACUACGUGCCAGCAGCCGCGGUAAUACGUAGGUGGCAAGCGUUGUCCGGAUUUAUUGGGCGUAAAGCGAGCGCAGGCGGUUUCUUAAGUCUGAUGUGAAAGCCCCCGGCUCAACCGGGGAGGGUCAUUGGAAACUGGGAGACUUGAGUGCAGAAGAGGAGAGUGGAAUUUCAUGUGUAGCGGUGAAAUGCGUAGAUAUAUGGAGGAACACCAGUGGCGAAGGCGGCUCUCUGGUCUGUAACUGACGCUGAGGCUCGAAAGCGUGGGGAGCAAACAGG